AUGAUCCAUGUAGAGAAGUCCAAAGUUAUUAAAUUUGUUCAGAUAGUCCUUCAAUCUAUUCAGGAGCUGAGUGUACCUGGCACAAGCACCGAGUAUUUCCUUUUGGUUUCUGAGCUAGAAGCAAGACUUGAGGAAAACUCAGCUCAGAUUCCGUCUGUGGUUUUCAGCAAGAAUACUGCUUUUCCCUUCUUCCCGCACAACUUUCCAGCCAGAUUGACUGAACUGCAGAAAGGUCAAAUGACUUGCUUGGAGGUCCCUUCAGAUUGUCAUCGAGUUGCCCUCAAUUUGAGCUGAAGAGAGGUCUGGUCCCUAUACUGCAGCGGAGACACAGAGAUCGGGUUUCCAGAACGCUAGCAAUCCCCAGCUUGCCGCAAAGUCAGAUGGAGACGAGUGGCCACGGAGACCACGCAGGAAGAAAAAGGAAAUAAAGAAGAGCGACAGUUUGCA
rnacentral:lncRNA from 1 species